rnacentral:rRNA from 1 species
UGCGUAGGUGGUUGUUUAAGUCCGUUGUGAAAGCCCUGGGCUCAACCUGGGAAUUGCAGUGGAUACUGGGCAACUAGAGUUCUGUAGAGGGGGGUAGAAUUCCAGGUGUAGCGGUGAAAUGCGUAGAGAUCUGGAGGAAUACCGAUUGCGAAGGCAGCCCCCUGGACAGUGACUGACGCUCAUAUGCGAAAGCGUGGGGAUCAAACAGGAUUAGAUACCCCAGUA